GGCCGGAUAGCUCAGGCGGUAGAGCACUCGCCCUGUUAGCAAGAGGUCCCGGGUUCGAUUCCUGGUCUGGUCG
rfam:Lingula anatina scaffold284, whole genome shotgun sequence.